rnacentral:rRNA from 1 species
UGAAGCUGAAUUUAUUGGACGUUUGGCAGACCGAACCCGUGUAUGUGGCAAAAUACUGGGAAGAUGCGUGAUUAGGGGUGAAAGGCCAAUCAAAUUCAGAUAUAGCUGGUUUUCUGCGAAAAUUAUUUAAGUAAUGUAUUAGAAGAUUAAAUAAAUAGGGGGUAGAGCACAUUGUUGGAUGAGGGGGGAGUUCUUGUAAUUCUACCGAUUUCAUUUAAACUCCGAAUACCUAUAUUAUAACACUUUUAGUAAGCAGAUCUUGAGUGCUAAGAUUCAAGAUCUAAAGGGAAAAAGCCCUCAUUAUUAGUUAAGGUUUUUAAAUAUAAUUCAUGGAUUAAGUUUGAUUUUGUAAAGAAAACCAAGAGGUAGGCUUAGAAGCAGCCAUCCUUUAAAGAAAGCGUCAUUGCUCAAUGGUAUAGCAUAAAUUAGACAGAAAUGUAAGGAAACUUUAGUUAUAUACCGAAACUAUAAAAUAUAUACAUGUAGUAGUAUUGGUAGCAGAACGUAAG